GUGACCGAUAGUGAACCAGUACCGUGAGGGAAAGGUGAAAAGAACCCCGGGAGGGGAGUGAAAUAGAACCUGAAACCGUAUGCUUACAAGAAGUCAGAGCCCGUUAAAGGGUGAUGGCGUGCCUUUUGUAGAAUGAACCGGCGAGUUACGUUAUCGUGCGAGGUUAAGUAGAAGAUACGGAGCCGAAGCGAAAGCGAGUCUUAAUAGGGCGACAGUACGAUGAUGUAGACCCGAAACCGUGUGAUCUAGCCAUGACCAGGUUGAAGUUCAGGUGAAACUGAAUGGAGGACCGAACCGACCCCCGUUGAAAAGUUGGCGGAUGAGUUGUGGCUAGGGGAGAAAUUCCAAUCGAACCCGGAUAUAGCUGGUUCUCCCCGAAAUAGCUUUAGGGCUAGCGUCGAGGUAGAGUCGCAUGGAGGUAGAGCACUGAAUGUACGAUGGCCCCAUCCCGGGGUACUGAGUAUAAUCAAACUCCGAAUGCCAUGCAGACGUACUCGGCAGUCAGACUGUGGGUGAUAAGGUCCAUGGUCAAAAGGGAAACAGCCCAGACCGCCAGUUAAGGUCCCAAAAUGUAUGCUAAGUGGAAAAGGAUGUGGGGAUGCACAGACAACUAGGAGGUUGGCUCAGAAGCAGCCAUCCUUCAAAGAGUGCGUAACAGCUCACUAGUCGAGUGACCCUGCGCCGAAAAUGUACCGGGGCUAAGCAUACUACCGAAGCUGCGGAUUCAACUUUAGAGUUGAGUGGUAGGGGAGCGUUGCAUGCACGUAGAAGCCGUACCGUAAGGAGCGGUGGAGAGCAUGGAAGAGAGAAUGCCGGUGUGAGUAGCGAGAUGUAGGUGAGAAUCCUACACACCGAUAGCCCAAGGAUUCCAGGGGAAGGUUCGUCCGCCCUGGGUAAGUCGGGACCUAACGCGAGGCCGAAAGGCGUAGUGGAUGGAAAACAGGCAGAUAUUCCUGUACCCGCGAUGGAAAUGAAGGAAUGACGGAGAAGGCUAGUGUGAGCCACUGAAUGGAUUGUGGUCGAAGCAUAUAGCAGGCUGACAGUGAAAUGCGUCAGCGGGAUGUAAGAUGUGACAGGUAAGGGAACGUCCUCGGACAAGUACUGAAGCACAUGAUGCCAGCUUCCAAGAAAAGUUUCUAGUGAUAAUUCCAUAGCGGCCCGUACCAAAACCGACACAGGUGGGCAAGGAGAGAAUCCUGAGGUGAGCGAGAGAACUGUUGCCAAGGAACUCGGCAAAAUGACUCCGUAAGUUAGCGAUAAGGAGUGCUCUUGUAAAAGAGAGCCGCAGUGAAGAGGCCCAAGCGACUGUUUAACUAAAACACAGCUCUCUGCAAAGUCGCAAGACGAAGUAUAGGGGGUGACGCCUGCCCGGUGCUGGAAGGUUAAGAGGAUUUGUCAUCCGCAAGGAGAAGCAAUGAAUUGAAGCCCCAGUGAACGGCGGCCGUAACUAUAACGGUCCUAAGGUAGCGAAAUUCCUUGUCAGGUAAGUUCUGACCCG
rnacentral:rRNA from 1 species